AUGGCGGCCCGGGCGCCGGGCGGAGGGCGGAGGGCGGGAGGGCGGCGGCCGGGCGGGGGGAGCCGGGGGCCGGGCGGCGGGGGCCGGGCGGGGAGGCCGGGGCGGGGGCGCGCCCGGGGCCGGGGGGCGGGGUGGGGGCGGCGGGCCCGGGCGGCGGCGGCGGCGGCGAGCGCCGGAGCGGAAUGGUGCGGACUGGCCGGGAGCGGGGGCGGCGGCGGCGGGCGGGGGCGGCGGCUGGGGGUCCGCCCUCCCGGCUGCCCCGGGCGGCCCGCGGGCUUUGUGUCGGCGGGCGGGGCGGCGGGCGGCGGGCGGCGGGGCGGCGCAGGAGGAGGACCGCGCGGGGCCUGGUCGGGCCGGAAGCCGGGGAGUCGCGUGAGCGCCGCCCGCCGCCGGCCCUUCGCGCGCGGCCAGGCCUGGGGCCCGCGGCCCAGUGAGUGCGGCGGGCGGGGCGCGGGCCGGCGGGGCCGUGGGGCGGGGGCGGCGGGCGGGCGGGCCCGGGGAGCCGGGCGGGGCUGCUCCGCGUCCCCCGGGGCCGGGCUCGGCGGCGGCGAGGCCUGCGCGUCCUCAACAGGUCGCCCCAGGGCCCGGGCGCGGCGGCGCGGGCGGCGCGGCGCGGGGGGCGCGGGGCCGGGCGCGGGGCCGGGCGCGGGGCCGGGCGCGGGGCCGGGCGCGGGGCGCGGGGCCCAGCUCCACGUGGACGCGGCGGGGCGCGGGCGCCGGGGACGAGCCGCGGGCGCCCAGCAGGUGCGGGAGGCCUGGGCCGGGGCGGGGGUGCUGCAGCCCGCGGCGACCCGGCGGCGACCCGGCGGCGACCCCGCGCCGGCCCCGCCCGGCCCCGCUCCGGCCCCGCCGGCCCCGCCGGCCCCGCCGACCCCGCGCCCGGAGGCGGGAAGCCCGCGGGGCGGCGAGGAGCUGUGCGGCGCGAGCCGGGGGCGACCGGGGCUGAGCCGGGGCUGCCAACCCCUCGGCUGCUGGGGCAUCGGCUGCGAAUCACGGUGGGAACUUUAUCAGAGAGAUCGCUCGGUUGUACUUUAA
rnacentral:lncRNA from 1 species